UACGUAGGGUGCGAGCGUUAAUCGGAAUUACUGGGCGUAAAGCGGGCGCAGGCGGUUUUGUAAGACAGAUGUGAAAUCCCCGGGCUUAACCUGGGAAUGGCAUUUGGGACUGCAAGGCUUGAGUGCGGCAGAGGAGACUGGAAUUCCUGGUGUAGCAGUGAAAUGCGUAGAUAUCAGGAGGAACACCGAUGGCGAAGGCUGGUCUCUGGGCUGACACUGACGCUCAUGCACGAAAGCGUGGGGAGCAAACAGG
rnacentral:rRNA from 1 species